CGUAAAGAACUUGCCUCACAGAUAGGGACAACAUUUGGAAACGAAUGCUAAUACCUGAUAUUAUGAUUUUAGGGCAUCCUAGAAUUAUGAAAGCUAUAUGCGCUGUGAGAGAGCUUUGCGUCCCAUUAGCUAGUUGGAGAGGUAACGGCUCACCAAGGCGAUGAUGGGUAGCCGGCCUGAGAGGAUGAUCGGCCACAAGGGGACUGAGACACGGCCCUU
rnacentral:rRNA from 1 species